UACGUAGGGUGCGAGCGUUGUCCGGAAUUAUUGGGCGUAAAGGGCUCGUAGGCGGUCUGUCGCGUCGGGAGUGAAAACUCAGGGCUUAACCCUGAGCCUGCUUCCGAUACGGGCAGACUAGAGGUAUGCAGGGGAGAACGGAAUUCCUGGUGUAGCGGUGAAAUGCGCAGAUAUCAGGAGGAACACCAACAGCGAAGGCAGAUCUCUGGGACGUUACUGACGCUGAGACGCGAAAGCGUGGGGAGCAAACAGG
rnacentral:rRNA from 1 species